rnacentral:rRNA from 1 species
AUUGAACGCUGGCGGCAGGCCUAACACAUGCAAGUCGAGCGGAUGAAGGGAGCUUGCUCCUGGAUUCAGCGGCGGACGGGUGAGUAAUGCCUAGGAAUCUGCCUGGUAGUGGGGGAUAACGUCCGGAAACGGGCGCUAAUACCGCAUACGUCCUGAGGGAGAAAGUGGGGGAUCUUCGGACCUCACGCUAUCAGAUGAGCCUAGGUCGGAUUAGCUAGUUGGUGGGGUAAAGGCCUACCAAGGCGACGAUCCGUAACUGGUCUGAGAGGAUGAUCAGUCACAACGGGACUGGGACACGGUCCAGAAUCCUACGGGAGGGAGCAGGGGGGAAAUUUUGGAAAAGGGGGAAAGCUUGACCGAGGAACGCCGGGGGGGUGAAGAAAGUCUUCGGGUUUUAAAACCCUUUUAUGUGGGAAGAACGGAUGUGAAAGUAACUAUUCGCUUUUUGACGGUACCCAAACAAAAAGCCACGGCUAACUUCGUG